rnacentral:rRNA from 1 species
GGAAGGUCUCUUCGGAGAUACUCGAGUGGCGAACGGGUGAGUAACACGUGGGUGAUCUGCCCUGCACUUCGGGAUAAGCCUGGGAAACUGGGUCUAAUACCGGAUAGGACCACGGGAUGCAUGUCUUGUGGUGGAAAGCGCUUUAGCGGUGUGGGAUGAGCCCGCGGCCUAUCAGCUUGUUGGUGGGGUGACGGCCUACCAAGGCGACGACGGGUAGCCGGCCUGAGAGGGUGUCCGGCCACACUGGGACUGAGAUACGGCCCAGACUCCUACGGGAGGCAGCAGUGGGGAAUAUUGCACAAUGGGCGCAAGCCUGAUGCAGCGACGCCGCGUGGGGGAUGACGGCCUUCGGGUUGUAAACCUCUUUCACCAUCGACGAAGGUCCGGGUUCUCUCGGAUUGACGGUAGGUGGAGAAGAAGCACCGGCCAACUACGUGCCAGCAGCCGCGGUAAUACGUAGGGUGCGAGCGUUGUCCGGAAUUACUGGGCGUAAAGAGCUCGUAGGUGGUUUGUCGCGUUGUUCGUGAAAUCUCACGGCUUAACUGUGAGCGUGCGGGCGAUACGGGCAGACUAGAGUACUGCAGGGGAGACUGGAAUUCCUGUGUAGCGGUGGAAUGCGCAGAUAUCAGGAGGAACACCGGUGGCGAAGGCGGGUCUCUGGGCAGUAACUGACGCUGAGGAGCGAAAGCGUGGGGAGCGAACAGGAUUAGAUACCCUGGUAGUCCACGCCGUAAACGGUGGGUACUAGGUGUGGGUUUCCUUCCUUGGGAUCCGUGCCGUAGCUAACGCAUUAAGUACCCCGCCUGGGGAGUACGGCCGCAAGGCUAAAACUCAAAGGAAUUGACGGGGGCCCGCACAAGCGGCGGAGCAUGUGGAUUAAUUCGAUGCAACGCGAAGAACCUUACCUGGGUUUGACAUGCACAGGACGCGUCUAGAGAUAGGCGUUCCCUUGUGGCCUGUGUGCAGGUGGUGCAUGGCUGUCGUCAGCUCGUGUCGUGAGAUGUUGGGUUAAGUCCCGCAACGAGCGCAACCCUUGUCUCAUGUUGCCAGCACGUAAUGGUGGGGACUCGUGAGAGACUGCCGGGGUCAACUCGGAGGAAGGUGGGGAUGACGUCAAGUCAUCAUGCCCCUUAUGUCCAGGGCUUCACACAUGCUACAAUGGCCGGUACAAAGGGCUGCGAUGCCGCGAGGUUAAGCGAAUCCUUAAAAGCCGGUCUCAGUUCGGAUCGGGGUCUGCAACUCGACCCCGUGAAGUCGGAGUCGCUAGUAAUCGCAGAUCAGCAACGCUGCGGUGAAUACGUUCCCGGGCCUUGUACACACCGCCCGUCACGUCAUGAAAGUCGGUAACACCCGAAGCCAGUGGCCUAACCCUCGGGAGGG